GCAGAAAAAGACUUGAUAUUAUCCCAUGAAAAAUAAAACAUGCUAAUCUGACCAGAAUGCUGGUUAAACAAACAAACUUGAAUAACCAUAGUUCACAAAUUAACAACAGCAACGAUGAUGCAUGUCUCAGACUAAGCAAUUUCUUAAUAAAGAAAAUCUCAAACAAAAAUUGUCUCCCAGUAACUAUCAUAUGGGUAAAUUAGGGACUCAAACUUCCUGGAGUUUUCACUUCUUGUCUUCCUUCUCUGCCUCGGCAGCCCUCUUCAGUCUGGCACCCAAAUGGCGUUUGUUUGUUCGCUCAAGACGAAGCUUGUAAUAAGCCUUAAAUGCCUUCAUUUCAUCUGUAAUCUUAACAAGCUCUACAGAUGGCUUCUCGCUCACAAUUGGUAGGUAUGAACCUUGAACCUGUGUAGCAUUUGCUAGUUCCUCGGGAGUGGAAUCACCAGCCU
rnacentral:lncRNA from 1 species